CUCAAUUGUAUUCAGAAUAUGUUACAGAAAUUCUAAGCAAAAUGUUUAAUCUUUUAUCUGUUUUUCUUGUUUUUGCAAUUUUUUGUAACAUUCAUGGACACGGUUUUGGCCGUCAACUCCUAAGCGAUGCAGAUCUGCAAUCAGCACUGAUGCCACAAGAACUGAACCCGGCUUUCGUCCCAGAGAAGCUGUUUCAGGAUGCACCAUGGCGCGCAGUAUUUCCUCUCGGCAGACAACGACGUGAGUUAGAAGUAGCAGUGGACCAGCCACCGCCAUCUCCGACCAUAUCACAAAGCCUCAAGGUCUACAGUCGCAUGGCAACUUGUGUAUCUCUGGCUAUAGCUGCGAUUGUCGAAAUUAUACUGUAUGUUGUCGAGUUUUAUACGGUCAGUUGAGUAAAUGAAU